rnacentral:lncRNA from 1 species
CGUCUACACAGCACUGCCUCCACCCAUGAGCCACUGAUACCAGUAUUAUUUACAAACCAGUUGGGUUGAUCAUGGAGAAGAAAAAUAUUCGCUACAUUGAGGUCAAUAUACUUCAGGCUUAUACAGCACCAACAAAAUCAAUACCAGAAGCAGAAAUGGAACUUGAAGAACCCAAACUCCUGCAGCUGAUAUUGCUACAUGUAGUGAGAGAAGAUUGAGGUGCUAACCUUGACCUGAAUGCCAAGGGAUGCCUGCCAUGGCCACAAGCUCUGCCUGGUGUGAGCAGCGUUUUGCUCACACGCUCUGUUUGCCUCCAGGUUUCCAGGUCAGUGUUUAGGACAAUGCAGAAACACAUGCAUGGAAAGUUUUUAUCUAUGCAAAUAAAAGGAGAGGGGUGACUGCUUCA